AUUUUCGUCAUCAAAACUCCUUUUUCUUUUGUGACUUUUUACCGAUAAAUUAAAUUCUGAGCUGUUAUCAUUCUUCGUUCCUGUGUCUCUCGUCUCAAUGUCGUUCAUACAAAUUUCCAAAGGUAUAACCUCUUUUUUUUCCUAAAAUAUUCAAUUGUCCAAUAUAUAGUUGCUCAAUAGCUGCUUUCAAUAGUUUCCUAACUUAUACAGCGUUCAAAAGACAGAUGAGUAAAAGACGAUUAAUAAGGGGAUACUCACAUGUUGGCAAAUUUUAAACACUUGCUAACGCUGUUUAUUUUAAACAUCACUUUAACGAAUUCUAAAGCUGCAGCAAAAUCCAUUAAUUUAUCGACAGCGAAUUUCCUUAAUACAUUAGGAUUCAGUAUUUUGUCUCGUUGAUAAAUUAUCCAGCGCAAUGGGAUUUACAGCUACAAAAUGCGAAAGAGAGCCGGUACUUGUUUAGGAAUUACUCAAAGAGUGUGAAGGUUAAAAUUAUUUUUUCAGACCAUCAUGAUGUUAUGCUUAGGUUUACUUCAAAGUCAACAAAGAUGAUUGGCGUGUAACUGUGUUUAUCGCCAGAUUUCAACUUCAAUUAAGCCCAAUUAUUUAUUAAGUUGAUUGUCAAAAUAAAAGAAAGUGAAUAAAAUAAAUUUGCUUUUCAUUGCUUUUGCCG